rnacentral:misc_RNA from 1 species
GUGAAUCAUCGAAUUUUUGAACGCAUAUUGCGCUAUCUGGUAUUCCGGAGAGUAUGCCUAUUUGAGGGUCAUUUGAAAUAAUAUAAAUUUUGAGAUUUUCUUUAUAUCAAAAAUGGGUUUGUCGAGCUGUGGUGUGGUGGUCUCCUAAAAUGCAAGACAAGCUCAUUUGUUGGGUUGCGGGAUACUUGCAGUUUCCUCGUGACUUCACAAGAAGUCUUCUAGCUUGGUAAGAAUUUUGCUGGAAAU